rnacentral:lncRNA from 1 species
CUCUGCCGCUGGGACACGCCGCCGCCAGGUGCGCCGGGGACUUAGGCAGUGCCGCGCCGCACGGCCCGCGCCGGUUUCCAAGGUGAAGGAGGAGGAGCCUCUGAGGGAAAGUUUCCACAGAAACUUGAGCUGGGCGCAGUGUAGCACUCGCGCCCUUGGGGGCUAGCGUUUGGCCGGAGCUACACACUCUUUACUCACGCACGCACACCGCCGUACACAGCACAAUCGUUCACCGUCCCGCCAAAGGCUCGUCUCUCGGGUUCUGCCUAGUGGAAGGAGUCGGACAACGCCGCACGUCACGGGCGUUUCGGAUUUCUUGCUUCCCAAAGGUUUGACGGCGGCCACCGGCGCCCCGGCCCAGCUCUGCUUUCCUUUGCUGACUCCUUCCUUUAGGUGUGAAUUUUAAAAUGCUGAUACCGCCCCAAGAGAGCUGAGUCAAGUGAGGCAAACGUUCGCCUGUUGUUCUCCUGACAGACUCCCUGCAGUGGGCAGGGGAAAUGUGGCCUUGGCCGACAUUAAUGAAGUGCCAGGAUGGAGGGAGGGGGCCUGCUGAUUUGUUCUGUUUUACUUUUUAAGGGUAACUAGAGCGUUACUGGAGUCGUCUGUGGGUUUGGGGAGUAUGUGGCGCGUGUGUGUGUCACACAUUUCACUGGCAACUCCCGCCAACCCCUUCCCAAGAAAUGAAGGCUCUAAUGUGGGCAGUUCUGCAACAAAGGUGAAACUUCCCCAAAUCACGAUUCCCCGCAAGAUGAGAGAGCAGGUGCAGCAUCCAUUUUCCCACUAUCACGCUUGAGAUGGUGGCUUUGGGCACUGCCGGGUGCCCCGACAUCCUUCCCAGAGCCCAGCCUUCCCACCCAGGCCCGGCCCUGCGCGGCCGCCUGCCUUUGCAUCAGAGACCGCGGCUGUGCCAUUGCCAAGGUGGGCAGCGCCGCCUCGCUUCCCCAUUCCUCCGUCUCCCACGCCUCUUGCGUGUUUGAGUCGCGAAGUGAUGGACUUUAAAUCUCAGAGGAGGAAUGAGAAACUUGGUUAGUGGCUCUCUUGGCAUGUUCGUAGCCCUGUGGUUGAAGUGGCUGAAACCUGCGUUGAGCCUCAGUCCAAGCAGCUGGGGCCACACCAGUUUGCAAAAGCGGAUGUGGCAGUUUCCACCGCAGCAGCAGCCUGCUGGCGCCUCAUCAGAUUCUCCUUUGGAGGAAGUAUCUUCUUCCCUUCAUUCUCGGUGAAUGGCAUCCAGAGAUAACCAAAAUCAGGUGUAUCUAGUUUCAAGUUCUGUCUUGCAACCGUGAUAAUUGGAGGAUGCAAACUUUACACUUUCUUCUCUAGCUGUCUACCACCACUGCUGCGCUUGUGGAUGACUGCAGGAACACCGGGUACUUGCCACAAGUAUCUCUCCAGAUUCAUCAGCCUUUCACCUGUGACAAGCUCAGUCAAGAAGUGGCUCCUAAGUAAAAGCUGGGGAAGAACAAGGAAGAUAGAGCUCAGAGUAGAAAGCUGUGAAGUUCUGCACAACAGGUCCCCUUGGCCUGCUCUAACAGUUGGAAGGUGUGAGCACAGUGAGAUUACACCUGUAAUCUUGGCACUUUGGGAGGCCAAGGUGGUUGAAUCACUUGAGCCCAGGAGUUUAAGACCAGCCUAGACAACAUGGCAAACCCCAUUUCUACCAAAAAAAAAAACAAAAAUUUUCUGGGCAUGGUGGCGUAACCUGUAGUCCUAGCUACUUAGGAGGCUGAGGUGGGAGGAUUGCUUGAGCCCAGGAAAUUGAGGCUGCACACUGUGACUGUGCCACUGCACCCCAGCCUGGGUCACAGAGCAAGAUACUGUCUCUUUAAAAAAAAAAAAAAUUAGCUUUUCAGGCAUGCAAAGUUCAACAUAUAGAACAAUAGAAGAUGAAAUGUAUUAAUCUUGUACAUUUUGUGUCUUAUUUUGUAUCUGCCUUAUCAAAAAAUUUUAAAGGUGUCGUGUUAGAUAUUACCAUGUAUUAUUGUUGAUUUAAAAAAAUUUUCUCCAGUAGUCUACUGGUCCUGCUCCCUGUACUUUGAAUGUAUAUUUGAUAUAAUUUGGAUGUUUGUCCCUUCCACAUCUCAUGUUGAAAUGUAAUCCCCGAUGUUGGAGGUAGAACCUGGUGGGAGGUGUUUGGGUUAUGGGGGUGAAUCCCUCAUUAAUGGUUUGGUUCUGUCCUCGCAGUAAUGAAUGAGUUCUCACUCUGUAAGUUCACAUGAGAUCUGAUUGUUUAAAAGAGCCUGGCACUUCCUCCCUCUCUUACUUGCUCCUUCUCUCACCGUGCAACACACUGGUUCCCCUUCACCUUCUGCCAUGAUUGUAAGCUUCCUGAGGCCCUCACCAAAAGCAAAUGCUAGCACUAUGCUUUAUGUACAACCUAAAGAACCACAAGCUAGUUAAACCUCUUCUCUUUAUAAAUUACCCAGCCUCAGGUAUUUCUUUAUAGCAACACAACUGGACUAAUACAAUGUUGUUUAGUGCAUAUUUCUUCCAUCAUUAGUGGCACAUAUGUUUAUAAUAUAUUUUCUUGAUCUAUUUUUUUUUACCAAUAUGCAGUAACCCACUUUAUUCCUUGUAUUACUGCUCUCCAUGAAAACAGAACCAAUUGGAUGUGCAUAUACAUAGAAAGAGAUGUAUUAUAAGGAAUUGGCUCAUGCAAUUAUGGAGACCGUCAAGUCCAAAUCUACUGUAUAGGCCAGAAGUCUAUAGCUAGGGGAUCAGAUAAAGUCCAGCAGGCAGAGAAUUUCCUCUCGCUUG